GACGAACGCUGGCGGCGUGCUUAACACAUGCAAGUCGAACGGAAAGGCCCUGCUUUUGUGGGGUGCUCGAGUGGCGAACGGGUGAGUAACACGUGAGUAACCUGCCCUUGACUUUGGGAUAACUUCAGGAAACUGGGGCUAAUACCGGAUAGGAGCUCCUGCUGCCUGGUGGGGGUUGGAAAGUUUCGGCGGUUGGGGAUGGACUCGCGGCUUAUCAGCUUGUUGGUGGGGUAGUGGCUUACCAAGGCUUUGACGGGUAGCCGGCCUGAGAGGGUGACCGGCGACAUUGGGACUGAGAUACGGCCCAGACGCCUACGGGAGGCAGCAGUGGGGAAUAUUGCACAAUGGGCGGAAGCCUGAGGCAGCAACGCCGCGUGCGGGAUGACGGCCUUCGGGUUGUAAACCGCUUUCGCCUGUGACGAAGCGUGAGUGACGGUAAUGGGUAAAGAAGCACCGGCUAACUACGUG
rnacentral:rRNA from 1 species